UACAGAGGUGGCAAGCGUUGUUCGGAAUUGCUGGGCGUAAAGGGCGCGUAGGCGGCUCGACAAGUCCCGCGUGAAAGCCCCCGGCUCAACUGGGGAACUGCGCGGGAAACUGUCGGACUUGAGUUCGGGAGAGGGAAGCGGAAUUCCGGGUGUAGCGGUGAAAUGCGUAGAUAUCCGGAGGAACACCGGUGGCGAAGGCGGCUUCCUGGACCGACACUGACGCUGAGGCGCGAAAGCGUGGGGAGCGAACAGG
rnacentral:rRNA from 1 species